GGGGUCAAUUCGCAACAGCAAUGUAAAUUGCACAAAAGCAAAAAAUUGAAUAUAAAUUCAAAUCAUAUGACCAAUUCUAAGUUCUUUGACUACAGUUAUUCUGUGUCAGAAACCUAUUAUGUGUCAAAUAUUUAAUUACAAUCCAAAUUCAGACCUGUAUCAAGCGCGACUAUUGUGUCCAUUUUUGCCCCAACUGUUCAGGGUUGGACCUCUGCGGUCGUAUCCAGCUGCGCUCGGCGAAGCAAUUUAUUGCUUUAUACUUUAUAGUUAAAUACAUUUCUUGUUUUUUAUACGACCACAAAAAAAUAUUUGGGUUCGUAUAAUGCUAUGAUGUUGUCGUUGGUGUCAUCGUCAUCAUCGUUGUCCGAAGACACAUUUGGUUUCUGGACAAUAAUUUUAGUUUAAGUGUAUGGAUCUCUAUGAAAUUUUACAAGAAGGUUCAAUACCACAAAAGGAAGGUUGGGAUUAAUUUUGGGGGUUAUGGAACCAACAGUUUAGGAAUUAGGGGCCAAAAACAAGCAUUUUUAUACGACCGCAAAAAAAUUUUUGUGGUCGUAUAUUGGUAUGACGUUGGCGUCGUCGUCGUUGUCAUUGUCGUCGUCCGAAGACACAUUAGUUUUUCGCACUCUAACUUUAGUUUAAGUGAAUGGAUCUCAAUGAAAUUUUACCAUAAGGUUCAAUACCACAAAAGGAAGGUGGGGAUUGAUUUUGGGGGUUAUGGUACCAACAGUUAAGGAAUUAGGGGCCAAAAAGGGGCCAAAAAUAAGCAUUUUUGUAACUUCCAGACAUAACUUGUGUGUAAGUGUAUGGAUCUCUCUGACAUUGUACCACAAGGUUCCAUAUCACAAAGGGAAUGCUGGGAUUGAUUUUGGGGGUAAUUGCCUCCAAAUUUUAGGAAUUAGGGGCCAAAAAGGGGAAAAAAACAAGCAUUUUUCUAGUUUCAUGACAAUAACUUGUGUGUAAGUCUAUGGAUCUCUCUGAAAUUGUAUCACAAGGUUCCAUAUCACAAAGGGAAUGCUGGGAUUGAUUUUGGGGGUAAUUGCCUCCAAAUUUUAGGAAUUAAGGGCAAAAAAGGGGCAAAAAACAAGCAUUUUUCUAGUUUCAUGACAAUAACUUGUGUGUAAGUGUAUGGAUCUUUAUGAAAUUGUACUACAAGGUUCCAUAUCACAAAGGGAAGGCUGGGAUUGAGUUUUGGGGUAAUUGCCCUAAACAUGCAGGAAUUAAGGGCAAAAAAGGGGCCAAAAAUAAGCAUUUUUAUACAACCGCAAAAAAAUUUUUGUGGUCGUAUAUUGGUAUGACGUUGGCGUCGUCGUCGUCGUCGUCCGGCGUCGUCGUCCGAAUACCUAUUAGUUUUCGCACUCUAACUUUAGUUUAAGUGAAUGGAUCUCAAUGAAAUUUUACCAUAAGGUUCAAUACCACAAAAGGAAGGUGGGGAUUGAUUUUGGGGGUUAUGGUACUAACAGUUAAGGAAUUAGGGGCCAAAAGGGGCCAAAAAUAAGCAUUUUUGUAACUUCCAGACAUAACUUGUGUGUAAGUGUAUGGAUCUCUCUGACAUUGUACCACAAGGUUCCAUAUCACAAAGGGAAUGCUGGGAUUGAUUUUGGGGGUAAUUGCCUCCAAAUUUUAGGAAUUGGGGGCCAAAAAGGGGCAAAAAACAAACAUUUUUCUAGUUUCAUGACAAUAUCUUGUUUGUAAGUGUAUGGAUCUUUAUGAAAUUGUACUACAAGGUUCCAUAUCACAAAGGGAAAGCUGGAAUUGAGUUUGGGGGUAAUUGCCCUAAACGUUUAGGAAUUUGGGGCCAAAAAGGGGCCAAAAAACAAGCAUUUUUCUAGUUUCCAGACAAUAACUUGUGUUCAAGUGUAUGGAUCUCUCUGAAAUUGUACUGCAAGGUACCAUACCACAAAGGGAAAGCUGGGAUUGAGUUUGGGGGUGAUGAAUCAUAAGGGGGUUCAAAAAAUUGGGGGGGGAUUUUUUUUUCCUUUUUUUUCUUUAACAUUUUCCAUUUUAAAUUGGUUAUUUCUGAUUUAUAUAUAAAAGCAAAUAAUAAUGAUAUGGUUUGAAUAGGCAUACAUGUGAACCUCCCGACGGGAGUACAAUAAUCCCGUUUUCAGGGGUCUCCUCCCGACCUCCCGUUGAAGAGGAAAAAAUCCCGUGUAUGAAAUUUUUCAUGAAUGAAAAAUUUCUGCCCAACAUAUCAUCUCAGGCAUCUGGUGUAACUGACAUUACCUGAAGUUAUAUUUUACCUGUAAAUCAAUUAACAUGCAUAAUUAUAUGGCUUCACUUGUCAGCUUGGGUGUCAAACAUACAGGUAAUCAACGAUUUUUACCUCAGGCUAACUGCCGUUGUGUAACAAAAACUGUGUAUUUAUUGGGUUACUUCCCUUGAUUUAUCCUGUUUUAAGUUACUUUCCUUUUAAUAAUGAAAAUUUUUAAAAGAAUAUAAAUAAAAUAUAAAUUGAACAAAUAAUCAUAAAAGGAUGGUUAUUAAAUGAUUUUAAAUGUUUUAGGACAAAUAAAAAAAUAAUAAUUUGAAAAUUAUUUGAGGACUCUAGACUUCCUUUCAAGGCUUAAAUUGAAAUUUAUAUAAUAACUAUGACCCUAAAUUUACAGAUAAAAUGAUUUUCUGAAUUUGCAAAUAAAAACUAUAUGCAAGAGAAAAAAAAAAAUAAAAACUAUUUGCAAA